rnacentral:rRNA from 1 species
CAGUAGCCGCGGGAAUACGUAGGGUGCAAGCGUUAAUCGGAAUUACUGGGCGUAAAGCGUGCGCAGGCGGUUUGUUAAGACAGAUGUGAAAUCCCCGGGCUCAACCUGGGAACUGCAUUUGUGACUGGCAAGCUAGAGUGUGGCAGAGGGGGGUGGAAUUCCGCGUGUAGCAGUGAAAUGCGUAGAUAUGCGGAGGAACACCGAUGGCGAAGGCAGCCCCCUGGGCCAACACUGACGCUCAUGCACGAAAGCGUGGGGAGCAAACAGGAUUAGAUACCCGUGUAGUCCCUGUCUCUUAUAC